rnacentral:rRNA from 1 species
AUUGAACGCUGGCGGCAGGCCUAACACAUGCAAGUCGAGCGGAUGAAGGGAGCUCGCUCCUGGAUUCAGCGGCGGACGGGUGAGUAAUGCCUAGGAAUCUGCCUGGUAGUGGGGGAUAACGUCCGGAAACGGGCGCUAAUACCGCAUACGUCCUGAGGGAGAAAGUGGGGGAUCUUCGGACCUCACGCUCUCAGAUGAGCCUAGGUCGGAUUAGCUAGUUGGUGGGGUAAAGGCCUACCAAGGCGACGAUCCGUAACUGGUCUGAGAGGAUGAUCAGUCACACUGGAACUGAGACACGGUCCAGACUCCUAAGGGAGGCAGCAGUGGGGAAUAUUGGACAGUGGGCGAAAGCCUGAUCCAGCCAUGCCGCGUGUGUGAAGAAGGUCUUCGGAUUGUAUAGCACUUUAAGUUGGGAGGAAGGGCAGUAAGUUAAUACCUUGCUGUUGUGACGUUACCAACAGAAUAAGCACCGGCUAACUUCGUG